CCCUUAGAUGUUCUGGGCCGCACGCGUGCUACACUGAGUGGAUCAGCGGGUCAGGUUGCGCGAAAGUGUUUCCUAAUCUUUAAAUCCGCUCGUGAUGGGGAUUGACGGUUGCAAUUUUCCGUCAUGAACGAGGAAUACCUUGUAAGCGCGGGUCAUCAUCCCGCGCUGAAUACGUCCCUGCCCUUUGUACACACCGCCCGUCGCUCCUACCGAUUGAAUGAUCCGAUGAAUACCGUGGAUUGAGUGUUCGAAUGGGUUCUCUCAUUUCAGCAUCUCUGAGAAGCGGAGUAAAUCUUAUCAUUUAGAGGAAGGAGAAGUCGUAACA
rnacentral:rRNA from 1 species